rnacentral:rRNA from 1 species
AACGAACGCUGGCGGCGUGGAUAAGACAUGCAAGUCGAGCGGGAACUUUUUUGGUAGCAAUAACCGAAAAGUUACUAGCGGCGAACGGGUGCGUAACACGUGGACAAUCUGCCUUAAAGUGGGGGAGUAGCUCGGCGGAAAGACCGAAUUAAUACCGCAUGUGAUGAGAGACGACAUCGUCUUGAAAUACAAAGGCCGGGGCAACCUGGCGUCUUUUUGUAGGAGUCCGCGGCCUAUCAGCUUGUUGGUGAGGUAACGGCUCACCAAGGCUAUGACGGGUAGCUGGUCUGAGAGGACGACCAGUCACACU